rnacentral:rRNA from 1 species
AUUGAACGCUGGCGGCAGGCCUAACACAUGCAAGUCGAGCGGCAGCGGGAAGUAGCUUGCUACUUUGCCGGCGAGCGGCGGACGGGUGAGUAAUGUCUGGGAAACUGCCCGAUGGAGGGGGAUAACUACUGGAAACGGUAGCUAAUACCGCAUAACGUCGCAAGACCAAAGAGGGGGACCUUCGGGCCUCUUGCCAUCAGAUGUGCCCAGAUGGGAUUAGCUAGUAGGUGGGGUAAUGGCUCACCUAGGCGACGAUCCCUAGCUGGUCUGAGAGGAUGACCAGCCACACUGGAACUGAGACACGGUCCAGACUCCUACGGGAGGCAGCAGUGGGGAAUAUUGCACAAUGGGCGCAAGCCUGAUGCAGCCAUGCCGCGUGUGUGAAGAAGGCCUUCGGGUUGUAAAGCACUUUCAGCGAGGAGGAAGGCAUUAAGGUUAAUAACCUUAGUGAUUGACGUUACUCGCAGAAGAAGCACCGGCUAACUCCGUGCCAGCCGCCGCCGUAA